UACGUAGGGUGCGAGCGUUAAUCGGAAUUACUGGGCGUAAAGAGUGCGUAGGCGGUUCUCCAAGUCCGUUGUGAAAGCCCCGGGCUCAACCUGGGAAUGGCAGUGGAAACUAGGGGACUUGAAUCUGGCAGAGGGGGGUGGAAUGCCGCGUGUAGCAGUGAAAUGCGUAGAGAUGCGGCGGAACACCGAUGGCGAAGGCAGCCCCCUGGGCUGAGAUUGACGCUCAGGCACGAAAGCGUGGGGAGCAAACAGG
rnacentral:rRNA from 1 species